rnacentral:rRNA from 1 species
GUGCUCCCCCGCCAAUUCCUCCGCAAGCUUCAGCAAACCGAAUGGCCCUCGCGGUUCAACACCGUGGAGAACGACAUCCGGCGGCUGAUGGCGCAACUGCCAAAGUAACUGCAUCAUCGAGCCGCAGGGCCUCAUCGGCCCAAGCCACCGCAUCGUCAGCAAGUCUUCUCCGGAAUUCUUGCCCCAUCCGUUUGAGUGCGCUCGCUCAUUGUAAAUAGACGGGCAAAGCAACUUGCUCUGACCAGUUUUUUUAGCAAACUACUUCCCUUCCCCGGAGGCAGACGAUGAAGAUCCUGCUCGAGAUAUUCGCGUUUAUGGCCGUCGGAAUGUUCUUCGCAUGGCUGGCGCUCCAAUGGAACCCCGAGAUGGGCAGCGGCUUGGCCUUCCUCUGCGCAUUCGUGCCGGCCAUCGCCAUCGUCGGGAUUGGCGAGCAACUCCUCGCACGGAAGCGGCGCUCCGCAUGACCGCGCGAUGAUGAUCGUCAUCAAGCGCGGCUGGUUUCGGCUGUCGAAACCGGUUGCUCGCUCUCGAUCGGCGAAACUGCAUAACCUAGCCGUUCGAUCAAGUCGCCCCAGCGGCGAAUGAUCUCGGCGCGAGUAUCGGCGGGCAGCUCGUAGCGAUUGGUUUGAUAGUCCUUUUCCUUGGCGGCGUAUGCUUCGAUUUGCGGGCGGGCUUGCUCGAAAUCGCCGAGCCGGAGGCGGUCGUAGAUCGCUUGCAUCUGACCGACCGGGUCGCGGACGAGCUGUUCAUAGCGGAUUUCGCAGAGGUUCUCCGGCAGGAUCAACCGGAG